CCAUAAACUUAGGUAGUAUGUUAACAAGACUACUCGCCAGAGUACUACAAGCAACAGCUUAAAACUCAAAGGACUUGGCGGUGCUUUACACCCCCCUAGAGGAGCCUGUUCUAUAAUCGAUAAACCCCGAUAAACCUCACCACUUCUUGCUAAUACAGCCUAUAUACCGCCAUCUUCAGCAAACCCUAUCAAGGACCAAAAGUAAGCAAGAGAAUAAUACAUUAAAACGUUAGGUCAAGGUGUAGCCUAUGAAGUGGGAAGAAAUGGGCUACAUUUUCUGCUUAUACAGAAAACAAACGCCACCUCUAAUGAAAUAUAAAGGCAAAGGCGGAUUUAGAAGUAAAUUAAGAAUAGAGAGCUUAAUUGAAUAGGGCAAUGAAGC
rnacentral:rRNA from 1 species